rnacentral:lncRNA from 1 species
UCCCGCACUCGUUCUCGCUCGAGGUCGACCUCCAAGUCCAGAUCUGCCCGAAGAUCCAAGUCCAAGUCCUCGUCGGUCUCCAGAUCCCGCUCGAGGUCCAGGUCCAGGUCGCGAUCCAGAAGUCCUCCGCCUGUGUCGAAGAGAGAGUCCAAGUCUAGGUCGCGGUCCAAGAGCCCACCCAAGUCUCCAGAAGAAGAGGGAGCGGUUUCAUCUUAAGAGAAUGGUAAUGUCUGCGGGGAUCUGAGACACGCCCUAACUCCCGAGGGGUAUGGUGUAGGUUUUUUGAGUCGUGUUAGCAUAAAAGAGACUCCUGAUGUUAAGAGUGCUACUACUCUGAAGUUAUUCGGCUUUGGGAGUGAUGCUGAAGAGGGGUCUGCAGAGAGGAUUGUGUAAAGCUUAGAUAGUAAUGGCUGUUUCAUUCUGUUUGAGACCUAUUAAUGAAAAUGACUAUUUCUUGCUGUUUUUAUCCAACGUCUGCAUUUUCCCCCUUUAAAGCUGCGGUCUCCUGUUUGAUAAAAGAAUAUUGGCCAGUAUUGCAGAUUUUAACUGAUUUGGCUGAUCCUCCAGGGACCAGUUUCUGUGGGCGUGUAUUGGAGCAGGUUUGUCUUUAAAUGUUAAAGAUGCACUAUCCUCAUAGAGAAAAGCAAUCAGUGCAACUGCUGUUGUGCUGCCUGGGACUUCUUACUCUAGUGGAUGAGGCAAAGGAAUUGCAAUUAAGGAGCAAUGAACUUUUGGAACCCCAAAAGAAAGUUACAGGUAUUGAUCCGCACUGGGUGGGGAAAGGAUAGUGUGUCUUUAACUCUAAAAUUGUUUGGUCCUAUUUUUCUUUUUAAAGGAAAGGGCCCUAAGUAGCUGAUUAAGAACAUCCUCAACUGCCAAAUGUUCCAUUCUCAAACAUCUCAAAGGGUAGACUAAUUCUGAGAGCAAGUUUUUGUUUGGAUACAGCCCCACCCUACCCUCUCCCCCCCCCCCUUUUUUUUUUUUCUUUUAAACCAACCCUCCCUUGCCUUUUUUUUUUUUUCUUUUUUCUUUUUGCCUUGGUUAUUUGGCCAAGAAUCACACAUAUCUGAACGUGCUGGUGGUACCCUUUGGAAAAACUCCCAUUUGGGCCUUUUAAAACUGAUAAUGGCCAGGUGGAACCUUCUGUAACCCACUUGUUUCACCAGAGCCUUAGUAAGUACAUGCCUGAUACUGAAACCAAAACCAUGCGCACUUUGGUGCCUUUGUAGUAGUGGAAAGUAACUGAACCUCUUUCUUUUCAAACCUAGAUGGAUCGGCAAGCCGCUUAACAGAGGACUUUGGGGGAAAGGACCACAAACUCAGUCCAUCGGUCCGUGGAAGAGUCCUUGGAACAAGCAACUGGCUAUUAAAAAGGUUAUUUUGUAACAUUUGUCUAACUUUUUACUUGUUUUAAUCUGCCUCAGGUGGCAAACUUCAUUUUAUGUGCCAUUUUGUUGCUGUUAUUCAAAUUUCUUGUAAUUUAGUGAGGUGAGCGACUUCAGAUUUCAUUAUUGGAUUGGAUAUUUGAGGUAAAAUUUCAUUUUUGUUUAUAGUGCUGACUUUUUUUGUUUGAAAUUAAACAGAUUGGUAACCUAAUUUGUGGCCUCCUGACUUAAUAAAGAAACGUGUGCAGCCAUUACAUACAGCCUAAAGCUGUCAGCAGAUUGACUCAACAUUGCCUUCACUCCUUAAAAAUUAGAAACCUAUGAAAGUUGGUGUAAUUUGCUCAUAUAUGUUAUUUACCUUCAGGUCUAAAUGAUAAUCUGAACCCAAAUUUGUAUAAAGACUUUUCAGGUGAAAAGACUUAUUUUUUUUUUAAAGGAUUGUUUACCCGACACAAUUCUAAUCUCUUCUCUUAUGUAUUUUUGUGCACUAG